GGCGCUUUGGCCGAGUGGUUAAGGCGAUGCCCUGCUAUAAGCUUGUGACUUCGGUUGCUCUAUAGAUUAGGCAUUGUGUUCGCACGCGCAGGUUCGAAUCCUGCAGGCGUCG
rfam:Verticillium dahliae VdLs.17 supercont1.1 genomic scaffold, whole genome shotgun sequence.